GAACCUUACCUGGCCUUGACAUGUCGAGAACUUUCCAGAGAUGGAUUGGUGCCUUUGGGAACUCGAACACAGGUGGUGCAUGGCUGUUGUCAGCUUGUGUUGUGAGAUGUUGGGUUAAGUCCCGCAACGAGGGCAACCCUUGUCCUUAGUUGCCAGCACGUAAUGGUGGGAACUUUAAGGAGACCGCCGGUGACAAACCGGAGGAAGGUGGGGAUGACGUCAAGUUAUCAUGGCCCUUACGGCCAGGGCUACAAAAGUAGUACAAUGGUAGGGAAAGAGGGGUGCAAUCAGCGCCACAUGCUCCAAUUCUAGAAACCCCCCCUCCCCCC
rnacentral:rRNA from 1 species